rnacentral:rRNA from 1 species
GAUGAACGCUAGCUACAGGCUUAACACAUGCAAGUCGAGGGGCAGCAUGGUCUUAGCUUGCUAAGGCCGAUGGCGACCGGCGCACGGGUGAGUAACACGUAUCCAACCUGCCGUCUACUCUUGGACAGCCUUCUGAAAGGAAGAUUAAUACAAGAUGGCAUCAUGAGUCCACAUGUUCACAUGAUUAAAGGUAUUCCGGUAGACGAUGGGGAUGCGUUCCAUUAGAUAGUAGGCGGGGUAACGGCCCACCUAGUCUUCGAUGGAUAGGGGUUCUGAGAGGAAGGUCCCCCACAUUGGAACUGAGACACGGUCCAAACUCCUGCGGGAGGCAGCAGUGAGGAAUAUUGGUCAGUGGGCGAGAGCCUGAACCAGCCAAGUAGCGUGAAGGAUGACUGCCCUAUGGGUUGUAAACUUCUUUUAUAAAGGAAUAAAGUCGGGUAUGCAUACCCGUUUGCAUGUACUUUAUGAAUAAGGAUCGGCUAACUCCGUGCCAGCAGCCGCGGUAAUACGGAGGAUCCGAGCGUUAUCCGGAUUUAUUGGGUUUAAAGGGAGCGUAGAUGGAUGUUUAAGUCAGUUGUGAAGUUUGCGGCUCAACCGUAAAAUUGCAGUUGAUACUGGAUAUCUUGAGUGCAGUUGAGGCAGGCGGAAUUCGUGGUGUAGCGGUGAAAUGCUUAGAUAUCACGAAGAACUCCGAUUGCGAAGGCAGCCUGCUAAGCUGCAACUGACAUUGAGGCUCGAAAGUGUGGGUAUCAAACAGGAUUAGAUACCCUGGUAGUCCACACGGUAAACGAUGAAUACUCGCUGUUUGCGAUAUACAGCAAGCGGCCAAGCAAAGCGUUAAGUAUUCCACCUGGGGAGUACGCCGGCAACGGUGAAACUCAAAGGAAUUGACGGGGGCCCGCACAAGCGGAGGAACAUGUGGUUUAAUUCGAUGAUACGCGAGGAACCUUACCCGGGCUUAAAUUGCAGAUGAAUUACGGUGAAAGCCGUAAGCCGCAAGGCAUCUGUGAAGGUGCUGCAUGGUUGUCGUCAGCUCGUGCCGUGAGGUGUCGGCUUAAGUGCCAUAACGAGCGCAACCCUUGUUGUCAGUUACUAACAGGUUCUGCUGAGGACUCUGACAAGACUGCCAUCGUAAGAUGUGAGGAAGGUGGGGAUGACGUCAAAUCAGCACGGCCCUUACGUCCGGGGCUACACACGUGUUACAAUGGGGGGGUACAGAGGGCCGCUACCACGCGAGUGGAUGCCAAUCCCAAAAACCUCUCUCAGUUCGGACUGGAGUCUGCAACCCGACUCCACGAAGCUGGAUUCGCUAGUAAUCGCGCAUCAGCCACGGCGCGGUGAAUACGUUCCCGGGCCUUGUACACACCGCCCGUCAAGCCAUGGGAGCCGGGGGUACCUGAAGUGCGUAACCGCGAGGAGCGCCCUAGGGUAAAACUGGUGACUGGGGCU